GAUGAACGCUAGCGGCAGGCUUAAUACAUGCAAGUCGAACGGGAUUUAGGGUAGUAAUACUUUAAUGAGAGUGGCGCACGGGUGCGUAACACGUAUGCAACCUACCUUUAACUGGAAGAUAGCCCCGGGAAAUCGGGAUUAAUAUUUCAUAACAAUGCGCUGUGGCAUCACAGUGCAUUUAAAGCUCCGGCGGUUAAAGAUGGGCAUGCGCGACAUUAGCUAGUUGGUGAGGUAACGGCUCACCAAGGCUACGAUGUCUAGGGGUCCUGAGAGGGUUAUCCCCCACACUGGUACUGAGACACGGACCAGACUCCUACGGGAGGCAGCAGUAAGGAAUAUUGGUCAAUGGGCGCAAGCCUGAACCAGCCAUGCCGCGUGCAGGAAGACGGCCCUAUGGGUUGUAAACUGCUUUUANCAGGGAAUAAACCUUUGUACGUGUACAGAGCUGAAGGUACCUGAAGAAUAAGCAUCGGCUAACUCCGUGCCAGCAGCCG
rnacentral:rRNA from 1 species